rnacentral:rRNA from 1 species
AGCAAACGCUGGCGGCAGGCUUAACACAUGCAAGUCGAGCGCCUCGCAAGGGGAGCGGCAGACGGGUGAGUAACGCGUGGGAACAUGCCCAAAGGUACGGAACAACUCCGGAAAACUGGAGCUAAUACCGUAUGUGACCGAGAGGUGAAAGAUUUAUCGCCUUUGGAUUGGCCCGCGUUGGAUUAGCUAGUUUGUGGGGUAAAGGCCUACCAAGGCGACGAUCCAUAGCUGGUCUGAGAGGAUGACCAGCCACACUGGGACUGGGACACGGCCCAUACUCCUACGGGAGGCAGCAGUGUGGAAUAUUGGACAGUCGGCGCAAGCCUGAUCCAGCCAUGCCGCGUAGAUGAUGAAGGCCCUAGGGUUGUAAAGUCCUUUCGGCGGGGAAGAUAAUGACGGUACCCGCAGAAGAAGCCCCGGCUAACUUCGUGCCAGCCGCCGCCGUAA